rnacentral:rRNA from 1 species
UACGUAGGUGGCAAGCGUUGUCCGGAUUUACUGGGCGUAAAGAGCGCGCAGGCGGCUGGUCAAGUCCGAUGUGAAAGCUCCCGGCUUAACUGGGAAAUUGCAUCGGAAACUGAUCGGCUGGAAGGUGGGAGAGGGUAGCGGAAUUCCCGGUGUAGUGGUGAAAUGCGUAGAUAUCUGGAGGAACACCGGUGGCGAAGGCGGCAUCCUGGACCGGUAUUGACGCUGAGGCGCGAAAGCCAGGGGAGCAAACGGG